CUUCAUAUAUUAAUCAUAUCAACCCAUUGGUUCUGCACUGAUAAUAUAGCUUGAGAUGGAAAAAAAAUACCCCUCUUAUUUUCAUUUCUUUUUUUUCUAAUUUAUUCUCUUCUCUCCUCAUUUUUUCAUUCUCUUCCCGUCGUAUCCUCUCAACACAGUCAUGCCGCUCGCUCACCUCCGCGUUGCUACAGGCAGGCGCUACCAUCUCCACCGUCAAGAAGGUCCGUAACAUUUGCUUUGCGUGUUGUUUCGUAGUUGGGUUGUGUGUUGAGUGUCGUCUGCUGAAACUUUGAGAGAGCUCCUGAAACGAAUUGGAAUUGUGUGAAAUGGUUCAUCGUGUUUGGGUGAAGGAAGUGAGUGGUGCGAUACUAUCAUUGAUGUGUCAAUAGUUGCGAGUUCCCCCAUUGCCAUCUACGGCCACCUCAUACGAACUUGCUAAACCUCUUUUUUUCUUUUAUUAUGCAGCU
rnacentral:lncRNA from 1 species